UUAGCCCACCGAGAGAUAGAGGGGUGAACCUCCCAGACUAACGAGUUAGUCCUUUGACUUGGGCUAGAGUGGCUUUCCGGAUGUUUACCUUUGGCUCUGGAAGAUCUUGAAAGUUGACAUCGCCUUGGGCGGGGGAAUAUGCAAUGGGAUUUUGCUUUGUUUUCUUCAGUUCUAUCCCUGGCUCUGUUUAAUUUACAAAACGAUAAGUCUUUUUUUUUGGUAAAACAUCUGAGUGCUCCAGGCAUGUUUGCGCACUCCUGUAGUCAUAAUAUUUGGCUAGGAAGAAGCAAAAGUUAAAUGUUAUCCUGGGCUACAUGAGAUCCUGUCUUUAAAAAAAAAAAAGGAUGCUCACCGUGGGAACACAAAAGGCCCCAAAUUACACGCUGGAAACAUUAGAAUCUUGAGACAGUGUUUCCCUGUGUAGCUUUGGAGCCUGUUCUGGCACUCGCUCUGUAGACCAUGGGAACUCACAGAGAUCAGCACACCUCUGCCUCCCGAGUGCUGGGACUACCACCUGACAAUAAAUAAAUCUUAAAAAAGAGAAAGAGAAACCCGAAGCUGAACACCUGUAUUAAUACAUUCUAUCAUUAAUAGUGAGUGUUCAUUCUCUUUCUGCUUUUGACUGCUGGCAUGACUGCCUCCGAUCCCAGCUGCCUUGACUUCACUGCUAUGAUGGAGUAUAACCUGUAAGUAUAACCCAGACAAACCCUGUUCCUUUAGCAGUUCUCAUUGCCAGGUGUAGAAAGGAAACUGGGACACUGCCUGAUCUUAUCCUCCGACCAUUUUAUCUUAGGAUUGCUAUCCUUUGUUGAAAAUGGUUUUACAGGAAUUCCUUAAAUGCAUAAGAUUGAAUAUCACUAUGAUUUUUAAAAAUGAUAUAUGUAUGUGUAUAUAUCAGCCUAUUAAACAGUCUCCCCUCCUC